UACGAAGGGGGCUAGCGUUGCUCGGAAUUACUGGGCGUAAAGCGUGCGCAGGCGGCUUUGCAAGACAGAUGUGAAAUCCCCGGGCUUAACCUGGGAACUGCAUUUGUGACUGCAUGGCUCGAGUGCGGCAGAGGGGGAUGGAAUUCCGCGUGUAGCAGUGAAAUGCGUAGAUAUGCGGAGGAACACCGAUGGCGAAGGCAAUCCCCUGGGCCUGCACUGACGCUCAUGCACGAAAGCGUGGGGAGCAAACAGG
rnacentral:rRNA from 1 species